rnacentral:rRNA from 1 species
GUAGGAGGCGAGCGUUAUCCGGAAUUAUUGGGGCGUAAAGGGCGUGUAGGGCGGCUCUUCAAGUCUGUGGGUGAAAUCUCCCGGCUCAACCGGGAGGGGUCCAGAGAAACUGGAGGGCUUGAGGGCAGCAGAGGGGGGUGGAAUUCCCGGUGUAGUGGUGAAAUGCGUAGAUACUGGGGGGAACACCGGUGGCGAAGGCGGCUCCCUGGACCGGCACUGACGCUGAGGUGCGAAAGCGUGAGUAGCAAACAGGAUUAGAUACCCUGGUAGUCCACGCCGUAAACGACGGGCACUAGGUGCAGCGGGUGUCGACCCCUGCUGUGCCGAAGCUAACGCAUUAAGUGCCCCGCCUGGGGAGUACGGUCGCAAAGGCUG